UACGAAGGGGGCUAGCGUUGUUCGGAUUUACUGGGCGUAAAGCGCGUGUAGGCGGACUGGAAAGUUGGGGGUGAAAUCCCGAGGCUCAACCUCGGAACUGCCUCCAAAACUUCCAGUCUGGACUCAAGCAGAGGCAAGUGGAAUUGCGAGUGUAGAGGUGAAAUUCGUAGAUAUUCGCAGGAACACCAGUGGCGAAGGCGACUUGCUGGGCUUGUAGUGACGCUGAGACGCGAAAGCGUGGGGAGCAAACAGG
rnacentral:rRNA from 1 species